GACGUAAAGAAAACAGGUUUGUAAAUGAUGUUGUACAUCAUGCAGAUAGCUCAGAAGAAGAAGCAGGAAUGUUUGACUGGAAAUUUAAACGAUGUUGUACAUAAUGCAGAUAGCUUAGGCGAAAAAGAGAUUGGUGAAAUGGAGAAUGAGACUAACUACGGUG
rnacentral:lncRNA from 1 species